rnacentral:tRNA from 1 species
GGAGACGUAGCAUAACUGGAUAAUGCACCACACUACGAAUGUGGCGAUUAUAGGUUCGAAUCCUAUCGUCUUCA